CCGAACAGAAGGUAACGGCUGCCACGCUGCAUGUUAAAACUAACAAGGAUAAAUCAGAAAUCCACUUAGCGCGGAGCCGGGUGACAUAUUUUAUGUGUGCAUUUCCACUCUCCAAAACGCACCAAGAGGAGGGAGGCAGUAAAGGCGGUGCAUUAAUAUUAGGCAAGAGAGGUGGAAAGAGUAAGUACCUGUGAGGCCAUCCAAUAGAAAAGUGAUCAGUACCCAUUGGAAAUAUACCAACCUCCAUGAAUCCAUGAUGCAGUCCUCCUGCAUGUCUAUAUCACUCUGUAGCUCCAAAGAGUACUUCAUCCUAGUGAUAGUCAAAACCCACUGGAUUUCCUCCUCAUUGUACAUGAAAUCAGCUUCUGAGCGGUUUGUUCUGGGCCUGAAACUGUGUCUUAGCUUUCUUCCCUGAAGGGAUUGUCUACAGACAUCACACAAAGAAAUUAAUUAAGUGGAUUUUCCAUUUGCACAGUUUUAAUGAAUAAAUGAUGUUCCUAUUUGUUUAUCUGUUUUCUAAUUAUAUCGCAAUUCAAAACCAUCUCGGUUUUCUGCAUUUGGAUGAUGUUAUUGUAGUAUGAUUGCUGUUCCAUCAGUGCAGGUAACAUCAUUUUCAAUAGAUGCGGAGUGCAGUCUUCCAUAUUUAUUAAACUGUGAUCUCUAUUAUUAAAAAAAAGUGUCUCUCUUUUCAUUUGACUUAUCUGUAUAGAACCAGAGAAUAGAAUAUCAUGUGCUACAUUAGAGAUUUAAAUAAAUGGACAGCACAGUGCCUGACCAUAGUAGGAGCUUAAUGAAUGUUUGUUGAUUGGAAAAUCUGCAGAGUUUCAAGAACGCGUAUGGUCCAAUCUUGGUGGUUGACUAGGACAGAAGUUCUGGGGCUAAUUUUGUAUUAGGGGACACUUGUAUUACUCAUGUAAUGUUGGCCAAAUUACCGAACCUUCCUAAGUCUAUUUCCCCAUCAUUCAAAUGAGGGGCCUGGAAUAGAUGGCCUCAUCCAUAUUUUUUUUCAUAUGUAAUCUAUGGUUCUGUGAUCCAAUGAAUGUCUGGCCAGGAGUGGCUAGUUGAGGGAGUUCAGUUAAGCAGGAGGACCUAUUAGCUGAGGUUCUAGGCCUGGAGGUAAAGCCAAAAUAGAAGAAAGAGAUAGGCUCCAUAGAUCUAGACACCCAGGGUUCUUGAUCUUUUUUGUGUGUAUCAUGGAUUGUGGGUGAAAUUUAUGGACCCUUCCUCUGAAUAUUAUUUUUAAAACUCUUACCUUCUGUCUUAGAAUUAAUACUAGUAUGAGGGCAGCUAGGUGGCUCAGUGGAUUUAGAACCAGGCCUAGAGACGGGAGAUCAUGGGUUCAAAUCCGACCUCAGAGACUUCCCAGCUAUGUGAUCCUGUGUAAGUCACUUGACCCCCAUUGCUUAGCCCAAUACAUUGUAUUGAUUAUAAGAUGGAAGGUAAGGGUUUUAAAAAAAGAAUGAAUAGAUAUUGGUUCCAAGGCAGAAGAGUAAAUCCAAGUUAAAUUAAGGUUAAGUGGCUUGCCCAGAGUCAUCCAGGUAGAAAGCAUACAAGGCUGGAUUUGAACUCAGGAUUUUCUAGGCCUGGCUAUCUAUCCAGCUGCCCCCCAGAAUAUUAUUUUAAAGGUGAUAAAAUAAAAAGAAUAGGGAUAUAAUAAAAUUGAAAUAAACUUUAUUAAAAUACAGUUACCAUAAUUUUAAAGAAUGCUUAUAGAUAGACUGUUGGUUAAGAACUCCAAAUAAUGAGGAGAAAAGGAUAUAGAAAUGUCUUCUGAGAAAGGAGGCAUGGUCUCAAUGGCCUCUAAGUACCCCUUGAAAUCUAAGUCUAUGGUGCUAUAGAAACCCCUUCUCACCUGACUGACAAGUGGCCAGCUUUUCCAGAACUUAGGAAUCCUUCACCCUAGUCAGCCUUGUUCCUCACCUUCUGCAAAGUCAUAUUCAUUAUAGUCACCUAAAGGUUUCCGUGCUACAGCUCAGCUCACCCACACACUAUCUGUGGUCUUCUUCACUCAACCUAAUCUGAGUGGUCCAGAUGGGCAAAAUGGCCCUAUCACUCUGCUGGCCUGGGACUCUGAAGGCAAAGAGCUUCCUAUGCUACUAGGAGAAGCGGCAUUUUUGUCGAUCAAUCAUCAGUGAGAUUUUAUUAUACACCUCUUAUGUGUUAGGCACUGUGCUGGUCAUUAGAAAUACAAAUUUGAGGGCAGCUGGGUGGCUCAAGGGAUAGAAUGCCAGGUCUGGAAUUAGGAAGACCUGAGUUCAAAUUUGACCUGGACUUCUUCCCUGAGUGACUCUGGGCAAGUCACUUAACCCCAAUUACCUAGCUCUUGCUGUUCUUCUGUCUAAGAAUUUGAUACAAAGACAAAAGAUAAUGUUUUAAAAGGAAAAAAAAGGGGGGGGAACAAAUUCUACUUGCAAAGAACUUUCAUGCCAGUCAGAGAGGUAAGUGAAAUAUUUGUUGUAUAUACAUAUAUGUUUACAUCUAUAUGUUUACAUAUGCAUAGAAGAAAUAUAAAGUUAAAAAAUGAAAAUAUAUAAAAAGUUAAUCAAAUGGUAGUUUAAAAGGGAGGACACUGGUAACUGGAGAGAAUCAGGAAAAAUUCAGACAAAAGAUGGUGAAUAAAUUCAAUUAUAUGUUGAAAAAUAUUUAAAAACUAGCCACACCUCAAAAAUAUAGAUAUAUAAACAGACAGAUAGAUAGAAAGACAGAUAGGUAGACAGAUAAGAUAGAGAGACAGAUAGAGGGAUGGAUGGAUGAAUAGAUAUUGGUAGAUAGACAGGCAGAGAUAGAUGAUAGAUAUUGAUAGAAAAAUAGAGACAGACAGAGAGACAGAUGAUAGCUAGAUAGAUGGAUAGAUAGAUAUUGAUAGAGACAAAUGAUAGAUAGGUAGAUAGAUAGAGAGAUGGAUGGAUAGGCAGGCAGAUGGAUGGAUAGAUAGACAGACAGACAGACAUAGAGAUAGAUGAUAGAUAUUGAUAGAAAAAUAGAGACAGACAGAGAGACAGAUGAUAGCUAGAUAGAUAGCUAGAUAGAGAGAUAGAUGGAUGGAUAGGCAGGCAGGCAGAUGGAUGGAUGGAUAGAUAGAUACAUAGACAGACAGACAGACAUAGAUAGAGGUAGAUGAUAGAUAUUGAUAGAAAAAUAGAGACAGAGAGACAGAUGAUAGAUAGAAGGAUAGAUAGGGAGAUAUUGAUAGAUAGACAGGCAAAUAUUGAUAGAAAAAUAGAGACAGACAGAGAGACAGAUGAUAGACAGACAGAAGCCAGACAGAUAGAUUAAUAGAUAGAUUAAUAUAGAUAGAUUAAUAGAUUGAUAGGUGAUAGACAUCGAUAGAGACAUAGAUGAUAGACCGAAGACAGUUAGAUAGAUAUAUAGAUAUAGUAUGUAUAUACACAUACAUAUACUCAUGACAUACUUUAAGUUCAGUCUAUAAUGCCAUUUUCUCCAUUAUUUGGAUAGGGAAGUUAUAAUGUAACUUUUCUAGUCAUAUGGCUAAUAAUUGCUAAAGACAGGUGCCGAGUUAAAGGUUUACUGAUCUAGCACUUAAUAAAGUGCUUGGCAUAUAGGUGGAAAAAUUCUGAAUUUCUUAAUCUAAACAAUGAACAAAAUAAAAAAUUUAGCUUGAGCCAGUUCAAACUGGCUCUACCACACCCCUGCUUGAGCUCCAUUUUAAAGGAUCAGAGGGAACCUUUGAAGCAGGGAUAAUGAGUCCAUGGGAUUUAGGUUCUACCAUACUAGGAAUAGGAAGACCUAGAGAAAGAUGAAACUGAUGGUAAAUCUAAAGGAAUCAUGAAAUAAUAGAUGUAGAAUUACGCAAAGGCCAUCUAGUCCAAACUCCUCAUUUUACACACAAGGGAACUGAGGCUCAGGAAAGAUAAGACUUGCCCAAGUGUACAUAAGUAGUGUCAAAGGUGGGAUUUGAACUUGGGCCAUCUGACUUCAAAGCCAGGGCUAUUUCUUCAAUGCAGCUUUAUUUCCACUCUAUCUUGCCUCAGUCACUAUCUCACCUGUGUGAAUCUGUGCCAGUUAGUGUUUUUCUCUACCAAUUCAUUUUCUCCUCUGUAAAACUGGGAGGUCUCCUUCAAUGAUCUUCAGUGAGUCUUCCAGCUCUGACAUCCUCUGAGGUAUCAAUUUCUAUUCUCAUGUCCCACCUAUCUAAUUUCACUAAGACCCUCAUGAUUUAAUCCAGUGGCCUUUCCUCAGCAUCUCUCAUUUUGUUUACUUCCCAGACUCAUUGCUCUCUCUGCUGUUUAUCCUCUGUCUUGUUUACUCUCAGCCAUCACUCCUGUUGGUUUUAGCUAGCUUGUUUUCUAGUGGAAUUUUUUAGUAAGAUCUCUUUGCUCUUUCUGUUUGAUGAUGCUUGGCCUGUCCUUCUUGACUGGGUGAAAACAAGGAUAUAGAAGUUUCCGAGUUCUCUGCC